rnacentral:rRNA from 1 species
AUGACGUGGCAUUGUGCUCUGCAUCAAGAUCAGUGUGGCUCAUCUGACGGUUUAGGACACGUUCGGGACAAGAUUCAAAAGUACGGGUCGUUCGGGAGUUAUCGAUUCCGUAUAAAAAUGGUGAUCCGUUUGAGAUGCGGAAUGCUUACGAGAAAAAACAUGGUGUCAGGCAAAUUGUGGAUGGACUUCUAUGUUUAUGCAGAAUGUUUCAUCAUGGCGGGUAUGAUAGGUUCAGUUCAAUUUUUGCAUUGUAACCGGGAAGCGAACGAGGUAGCGCACACCCUAGCUAAGUUUGCUUAUGAUAGAAAUGAAUCUUGUACGUGGGUCGAUGAACCCCAGGUUCCUGAUUAA